rnacentral:rRNA from 1 species
AUUGAACGCUGGCGGCAUGCCUUACACAUGCAAGUCGAACGGCAGCACGGGAGCUUGCUCCUGGUGGCGAGUGGCGAACGGGUGAGUAAUACAUCGGAACGUACCCUGAAGUGGGGGAUAACGUAGCGAAAGUUACGCUAAUACCGCAUAUUCUGUGAGCAGGAAAGAGGGGGAUCGCAAGACCUCUUGCUUUAGGAGCGGCCGAUGUCGGAUUAGCUAGUUGGUGAGGUAAAGGCUCACCAAGGCGACGAUCCGUAGCGGGUCUGAGAGGAUGAUCCGCCACACUGGGACUGAGACACGGCCCAGACUCCUACGGGAGGCAGCAGUGGGGAAUUUUGGACAAUGGGCGCAAGCCUGAUCCAGCCAUUCCGCGUGCAGGAUGAAGGCCCUCGGGUUGUAAACUGCUUUUGUACGGAACGAAACGGUCCUGGUUAAUACCUGGGGCUAAUGACGGUACCGUAAGAAUAAGCACCGGCUAACUACGUGCCAGCAGCCG